CAGGUGSCCGGUGGCCCGCCUCGUGCGGGUUGCCGGUUGUUUACCUUCUCCGKRCAGGGGCCUGUCGCCAGACCGUGGUGUCGCGAGUCCCUCCGGGGACUCCUYGUCUCCCCCCUCSGUYGYGGGAAYGGACGGUGGCAAGGGCUCGUGCGCUCUUCCGUCGCACCCCCUCGGAGUGGACGGAGGGGCGCGGGGCCCCGCUGGCCGCGGCGGACCCGUCGGGGACCGGAGGCUGGCAGCGAGUAGGUCGGUCACCCACCCGACCCGUCUUGAAACACGGACCAAGGAGUCUAACAUGUGCGCGAGUCAAUGGGUCUUGGCUAGGCCCAGGGGCGCAAUGAAAGCGAAGGGCGGCCUCGCGCCGUCCGAGUGGGGAUCCGCUCCCCUCGGGGGGGGGCGCACCCRCGACCCGUCCUAUCCGGCUCGCCGGUUGGGCGGAGUCUGAGCGUACACGUUGGGACCCGAAAGAUGGUGAACUAUGCCCGGACAGGACGAGGCCAGAGGAAACUCUGGUGGAGGUCCGCAGC
rnacentral:rRNA from 1 species